GCACAUUCCGCAGCUCACACAUGCAGUCGAGCGGAACGAUGAUAGCUUGCUAUCAGGCGUCGAGCGGCGGACGGGUGAGUAAUACUUAGGAAUCUACCUAGUAGUGGGGGAUAGCUCGGGGAAACUCGAAUUAAUACCGCAUACGACCUACGGGAGAAAGGGGGCAGUUUACUGCUCUCGCUAUUAGAUGAGCCUAAGUCGGAUUAGCUAGAUGGUGGGGUAAAGGCCUACCAUGGCGACGAUCUGUAGCUGGUCUGAGAGGAUGAUCAGCCACACCGGGACUGAGACACGGCCCGGACUCCUACGGGAGGCAGCAGUGGGGAAUAUUGGACAAUGGGGGCAACCCUGAUCCAGCCAUGCCGCGUGUGUGAAGAAGGCCUUUUGGUUGUAAAGCACUUUAAGCAGUGAAGAAGACUCCAUGGUUAAUACCCAUGGACGAUGACAUUAGCUGCAGAAUAAGCACCGGCUAACUCUGUGCCAGCAGCCGCGGUAAUACAGAGGGUGCAAGCGUUAAUCGGAAUUACUGGGCGUAAAGCGAGCGUAGGUGGCUUGAUAAGUCAGAUGUGAAAUCCCCGGGCUUAACCUGGGAACUGCAUCUGAUACUGUUAGGCUAGAAUAGGUGAGAGGAAGGUAGAAUUCCAGGUGUAGCGGUGAAAUGCGUAGAGAUCUGGAGGAAUACCGAUGGCGAAGGCAGCCUUCUGGCAUCAUAUUGACACUGAGGUUCGAAAGCGUGGGUAGCAAACAGGAUUAGAUACCCUGGUAGUCCACGCCGUAAACGAUGUCUACUAGUCGUUGGGUCCCUUGAGGACUUAGUGACGCAGCUAACGCAAUAAGUAGACCGCCUGGGGAGUACGGCCGCAAGGUUAAAACUCAAAUGAAUUGACGGGGGCCCGCACAAGCGGUGGAGCAUGUGGUUUAAUUCGAUGCAACGCGAAGAACCUUACCUGGGUCUUGACAUAUCUAGAAUCCUGCAGAGAUGCGGGAGUGCCUUCGGGAAUUAGAAUACAGGUGCUGCAUGGCUGUCGUCAGCUCGUGUCGUGAGAUGUUGGGUUAAGUCCCGCAACGAGCGCAACCCUUGUCCUUUAGUUACCAGCGGGGUUAAGCCGGGGAACUCUAAUGAUACUGCCAGUGAACAAACUGGAGAAGCGGGGACGACGUCAAGUCAUCAUGGCCCUUACGACCAGGGCCUACUCACGGUGCUAACAUGUAGGUACAGAAGGGCAGCUUACCCAGCGAUGUGAUGCCGAAUCUC
rnacentral:rRNA from 1 species